CUGCAGUGGGAAGAAAGAAAGAACCGGAAUCAGCAGAGAGACUGAGGAAAUGUAUUCUGGGCAAGACAAAGGCCCCCAAGAGAGGUGAUGGAGAGGAGAAGAGCAGAGCGAGCUCUUUGAGUGAAAUCCAACAGAGUGAAAAGGGGUAUUGUGUCCAAUAAGGCUGGAAAGGCAGGUUGGAGGCAGCUUGUGGAGGGCUUUCAAAGCUAACAGGGCUUUUAAAUUUGCUCCUCUCAGAGCCAGGAAGUCAGUGGAGUUUCCCAAGGAUUAGAAUCAUAUCAUCGAAUUGAUGUUUUAGGAAAAUCUCUUUGUCAGAAGCAUGAGGAUGGGCAUGAAGGAAAUGAGACACACUUGAGGAUCUCCGUCGAGUGUUGGUCUGGUUGAGAAAUGAAGGCAGAAUGCUACGGUGUGCUCAGGAGGCGAUGCAGCAAGGCCCCCAGUUGGGUACCUGCAGCUGAAUGUGGGGCCGGGUUCUCCCUGCGAUGCAAGGUUGGUGCCUUCUGGCUAAAAGCUGGGCAAGGAGACCAGUGAUCUAAAGCUGGGCAGCUUGACAGAGAAGCCUAGUGGCCCUCACCGAAUGGCGAAUGGCGGAGUUCACUUGUGGGUUUCUUAAGGGAAGAUUGUCGUUAAAUGCAGGUCAGCCUGAGCUCCCCUGAAUCGUGGGACUGGCCCCUCGUCUGAUGCCCGCCCUGUAUGAACUAAGGAAGAUCCUCUAGCACCCUUCCCAAGCUGAAGGAGGAGCCCAAAGGCGCCCGCGACUCCCUUCUGGGGAGAAUAACCUGGCGUCUCCCUCGCCACAGAUCAAAGGGUCUCUGCCCAUCAGCAGCCAGUCCGCCGGAAAUCCGGAAGAAACAAUGUCUCAGCGGCAGAGAUACUUUGUAUCCAAACAGGAAAGCGACAAAGAACAGCGGUCACUAUCACAGAAGCCGCUCGCUGCCUGCAGUCCCGGCUCUCGUCCUCUGAUCCCAAACCAAAACACGCGCUUGGCGCAUUUCGAUUGUUAUUGGAGGGAGCUCUCUCCUGAAAUUCUUCUCUGGGGCAGCGCGAUCAGGGUCCCAGAAGUACACCCGAGUGGCCCGGGUCAUCUUGUUUGUGAAUUUGGGUAAUUUCUGGCUUUUGCCGAGUUCCUUUUCAGUGUAAAUAUCCCUGAACUUCGCUCUUCAAGGAUCUACAGAAUUAAAGUGUAAUCAGAAUCGCGAUGGUUUCCGAGAAUUAAAAAAAUAGAGCCAAUCUCUUCUCUUUAGCGUGUGGAGGGGCCGGGCAAAGUGUUGGUGGGGCCAGAGGUGCAUUUCCCAGGCCCCUCUGUAGUAUUUCGAGGUUCCUGCACUUUUCCGAAAGGGCUCUGGUUAUGUGCAGUGACUCCUGGCUCCCUCUUCAGGGCUGCUCUCUCAUGGUCUAGUCUCCUGAGUCAUGUUCCUUCCCUUCACAUCUCCUCCCCCCUAAUUUUUUUUUCAGUUUUUCCAAUGAAAUAAGCAGAAAAUUUGUAGGGAAAUAGGGAACCAUUGUUGGGCAAGGUUGUCUAUGCAUAUGUGUGCAAAUAUAUAUAUAUGUGUGUGUGUGUGUGUGUGUGUGUGUUCCCUCCUCCCUCCCUGAAUUAUCUUCUAACCAUUUUUCUCUGGCAGGUCCUGGGGCUGCCUCCUGGUGGGUUACCUUGGCAACCCCAGGUGCCUGUCAAGCUUUAGAAUAUCCCCAGACUGCAGCAAGGAUCCCACCAUUUGCAUACACCCCAGUGAUCUGGCACUGGGUUAAAAAAAAAUAGUAGACCCUGCCAUCCUCACUCAGGGAGUGAGCUUACUUUGGGAGGGAGCCACAGACCCAGGGGUAGCUGGAAUGCGACCUCAGGAUGUGCCUGCCCCUCCUUCUUCCCUCUCUCUGGAUGCAGGAGACACGGCCUCCCAGUCUAACAAAGCCAUGGAGCCUAGUCUGCCACAUUUGACAGGCGUCCACCGACUCCUCAUGGAGAAACCCAGAGCUUCCCCACCACGAGCAGGCUGCUGACAGCCCUGCCCAGCUACUCUCGGAUGGACUUUUGACAUGUCAUCAAUGCUGGGUGACAAGCAUGACUCCAAAUUAAUCAAUUAAUUAAGUCUGCUUGCCCAAAUCACACCAACUUUGAUCAAAUUUACCCAGAAAAAUUUUCCUGUGGCUUCUGAAGGGAGAUUUUAUCAAGUCUUAAAAACAAAUAAAGAAUGAACUUGUUUUUUUUAAUCUCA